rnacentral:lncRNA from 1 species
AGAUGCUUAGGUUCUGACUAGAUAUCUCCAGUCUUCAGGGGACGAUUCUCUACUGGAAGAAUCUAGGAGUAGUUAAGCCCUAUAUUCUGGAGCGAAUUGAGACCACUAACUAGCCGCAAAAUCUUCAUCAGAUUUUGGAACUUAUGUUGCUCUGAUCCGGGGAGGUGCCCGAAACAGUCUUUGGCGUCCUUAUCUCUACAGGUGAGACUCAUAUCGUUGGUUUAGUGCAGUGGGACAAAGCAGAUGAAUAAAGUCAAGAUAAGGAAAAUAUUUCAAAAUGAAUUUAUCAAGAGAUGCUAAAGGCUGGAGAAGCUAGAUACAAAUGCCGCUGUCCUUUGAUUUCCAUUGUGUGAAAUGUCCCAAAUAUGUAGACUGGGUGGAGAGCAAAUUAGUGAUUACUUAAGGCUGAAAGAAAAGAGAGAGGAUGGAAAUUGUCUGGAACUAUACAGUGGCCACAGAUGAACAGUACGUUGGAUGUUACCACGGGUGCACAUUAAAUUGGUUAAAAUGGUGUCAUGUCUGGUAUAUGUAUUUUUUGAGACAGACAGAUAGACAGACAAGUUGAGUUGAAGCCCUGCUCUGAGGUGUUUGUUAGAGGACGUGAAGGGGUUAUCUGAGAAGCCGGGGAAACCAGGAUGCUAGAAGGGGUUUCCGUGCAGAAAUUAUCGUCUACUCCCGGAGGCAGCAGUAAGGAGGCUCUCGGUGAAGUAUGAGCCUUCCUCAGCUCCGGGUCUUGCUCUCCCCCAGGGAGUAAAGCUGACCUCAACUGUGCUGAGGCUCACUCAAAGCUACCAGUCGGUGAGAUUCACUACCUGUCACAGAGGCUCUUCUGGCUCUUCAGGAUAUUGAAGGCGGAUUUCUCUGCGGCCCAGAAGGGUACACACAGGUUCCUACCUUGUCUUUGUUGGAAACUGAGGCCUUUGGCUUCUCUGCCUGCCAGGCAGCCAAUACAGUAGUGCUCAGAAAAUAUUUGUGGGUCUGUGACUGGGUGAGUCAGGCAGGCCUCACAGGAGCCGUUUUAUGGGUUUUAAUAGGAACCAUACCGUGAAAUCCGAAGCACCACGGCACUGCUGCUUAGCGAUCACCCCAGCGGGAGUUUUGGGCAGCACUCAUUCAGCAAAUUUAACCUGAGCUGAUGGUUUAGAGCAGCCUCCAUUUUACGGUAAAAAUGACCAUCUCG